GGUAGACGGUCAGUUCAGYUUGUGAUACCUUAAUGCAGUGAAAGUUGAAGCUCGUGGACGACGAGGAACUGAAGAUUGGUUCUUUUUUCAAAUCGCUUGCAACAGGUUCUUCCGUUCAGUUGUUUUCAAARCACAUCCAAUGGYUGAGGCGUUGGUAGUCGUACGUGUCUGCGAGGUCGUCUAUUUACAAAAUAACAGCCGUUGCCGAAGACGUGUUUUGGUGUUAGCUUUUAAAGCCCUGGAGCUCAUGAAGUUGUCCUGGCAACGCAAUGGGGACCACGUGCAUCGAAGGCGAUUUCAGUUUCCAAUGGAUUUAUAGAUAUAAAUCACAAUGCUUUUCAAUAAACUCUCUCUUUAUUCCUUA